rnacentral:rRNA from 1 species
UCCAGACUCCUACGGGAGGCAGCAGUGAGGAAUAUUGGUCAAUGGGCGAGAGCCUGAACCAGCCAAGUCGCGUGAAGGAUGACGGCCCUACGGGUUGUAAACUUCUUUUGUCAGGGAGCAAUUGAGUCCACGUGUGGGCUUAGCGAGAGUACCUGAAGAAAAAGCAUCGGCUAACUCCGUGCCAGCAGCCGCGGUAAUACGGAGGAUGCGAGCGUUAUCCGGAUUUAUUGGGUUUAAAGGGUGCGUAGGCGGAAUGCCAAGUCAGCGGUAAAAUCGCGGGGCUCAACCUCGCUCCGCCGUUGAAACUGGCAGUCUCGAGUUGGAGAGAAGUAUGCGGAAUGCGCGGUGUAGCGGUGAAAUGCAUAGAUAUCGCGCAGAACUCCGAUUGCGAAGGCAGCAUGCCGGCUCCACACUGACGCUGAGGCACGAAAGCGGGGGUAUCGAACAGGAUUAGAUACCCCCGUAUG